AUGAUGUAUCUAUGGGAAAAUGAGAACUUGGAACCUUCUAGCAUGCCAUUUGCUGAUGUCACUCUCGACAACUUGACUCUGGACACAGGUGCUGAGAACCUGAAUCAUGACAGGACAGCUGUCAUGCAAACAGACAAAACUAAAUUUACUGCUGAAUUCAAUAACCCGCCCACCACGACCCCUCAGCCACAUGCUAUCUCCGGUUCGGGAGCGUUGGAUGGGGAUGCCAGAGACUCUGCUUUUCCUCAACAACUUCCACGGAUCCUGGGACAUUUCUUAAAACGUCUGGACCGAAGCUUUAACCUCAUGUGCUCCAUCAGGCUGGGACGGAAAAGACGGGAGGGGCGAAGAAGAGGCGGGGGGGAACUGGGAGCGCCGGGACGGAGCCCGGGCCCAGGACGGUCGGUGUCAAUGACCCAGGGUUCCCGCGCCCCGGGCGCACCCCGCAGUAAGGCGUCGGGGAGUCGGGGACAUUAGGGAGGCGACCACCCGGCCCCCAGCGGGGGAUGAAGUGCAAGGCUGGCCACUCCCGGCAGGAGGCUGCGCGCAGAGACCAGCUGUGGGUAGCGGGGGAUGGGGCAGGCGGCCACGUGCAACCGUGGGCAGGUGGGAGCCUCCCAGGCGCCAGCUCGGGGAGGGCCACGCCCCUUCCCGAUUCCCCGCGCUAGGCCACGGGACUGCAAAGGGGGGCACGUCCCUUCCAGAGUUCUCGGCGCUAGGCCACGCCCUAUUGCCCGGGCCCCGCCCACUCCUUAUGCCCAUUGGGGGCUCCUUGCAUGUCUCCGUCCCGCCGCCGCAAUGGACUCCCAGACCUCAGCAUCAACCCUGUCUCCUGUUACUCGCCUCAGGCUGGUUGCCCGGGGAAAAACUCCAAGCGUUUCACUGGCUAGCCGGUAAACCGUUUCAUCUUUGCUCCAUCAGCAGCAGCUCUUUGAUUGAAUCCCCUGGCUUUAGAGCCUCCCACUUUGACGAUGCUGCAAAUCCCUGAAGCGUGCUGGCUCUGAUCUGGGCCACGUGUACACCCAGGUGCGCCCCCUUAGCCUCACGCCCUGCUCCUGUUGCCUCCCCGUGCCUCUAGCCUUCGGGAAUUGGGGUUGCAAUGAAUCUUUUCCAAGUCUUUUAUUACUCCAGCCUCUCCGUGCACCCUCCCGCUCCAACACCUGACAUUUUCCUUCAUCUCCACCCUCCCUUCCCCAGGUCCACAGACAGACAGACACACACACACACACACACACACACACACACACGCCUCUUCCUUUCCCCUCCACUCUCAGCCAAUGGCAACGUCAGUCCAUCCAAUAGUCAGGAGACCAGACGACUGUCCACAGACAGCUGCCCUCUCGCCCAGGAGAGUGGGGCUGCACCACGAAGCAGGCCUAGCAGGAAAUCGUGCUUUGAUAGUCCCAGGCAUCGUAUUUCGCAGUAUUUCAUAAGUGAGCCAAAUGGAGAAGGGAUUAGCUGUUUCGCCCAUUAAGCCCCACAUCUGUAGUUACAUUCUGACUGGGAUAAAAUUACCCUGGUUAUUAAUCCUUCUGCUUCAGGGCAUAAGCUGAUCACCGCUGGGGUCAGGAAAAAAUUCUACCCCAGCUCCUUCCAGCCUGCUACCCCAUUCUCAGCUGCCCCAUCUCCUGUGGUCUAUUCUUGCACAGUUAGGUCUACUAGCCAGGUUCAACUGUGGCAUCUCUGACCAUCCUAGUCUGCCCCGAAAAGGACAGUCCAUUGAUCAUGUAAGUAUGUAUUGAGAAUCUACUGUGGGCAAGACUGGUCUUCGCUGUGAGCGAUGUAAAGCCAUUCUGGCAUGACCCUUGCCUUUUUCGUGCCAAGAAAAGCUGAAGAAUGUGGUCAGAAAUUACAUGUGGUUUCUGGGACUUCCUACCCUGAGGCACCCUAGGUGUAUCAGAUGGCCUCAGGGAGCACAGUUCGGGUAUGGGCAGUAUUUUCACGCCCACUGCCAUUCCGUUAAGUGUACGUGGGCUCUUCGUGAACACCGGCUAGCUGUGUUUCUGUCUCUGAUCAAGUUUAGACUCCAAAUCUGCCAGUUCUGGGACUUUAAAGGAGUCUCUAUUUCCCUGGGUAAGAACAAGAAAAGAGAGACUCCAUUUCCCUUGGUAGAAACAAGAAGUAGGAACAAGCAGGUGGAGAGCCAGGCAGGGUUGCUCCUUCCAACCAAUGGGUCUGGGGCUGCAGCACACGAAGUUGACAUCCCAAGAAGCCAUUUUCCUUGGUCACUUCAGACCUGACGUUGGGUGGACUGACCACAUAAUUCAGCAUCCAAACUGGGGAUCUCUCAAUAACAGAAAGGGGUGCCAUUGAUAAUUUCGUGGAACUUUCCGGAGCACCCAGGGUGUUUUCAUUCUGCCUGAGAGGUCAUCUCCCUUGGGCAUCAUAAGAGGUACCACUGAGACACAACAGCUUUUGUCACCAUUUCCUGAUUGCUUCCCAAGCUCUCUCUCCUCUUCCCUGUGCCAGUCAUCUCACAGUCUCCUUGUGCAGUUAGAUCUCCCCUACUUCAGCCCUUCCUCCCACAAGUUCCUUUGCCCCCACUGCCAUGCCCAAAACACCUACAUUUCCACUCUCCAACCUUGAUCAACCCAACUGUGUUUUUACACUACUGUGUCCAGGAUGCUGGGUAAUUCUAAAGAUAGCCAUCAAUAACAUUCAUUCAAUGAAUAAGUCUGGGUUGAUCCUGUGACACACCUUCUACCCUCAGCUGCUUCUCAACAUUGGUCAGUCCUUAUGUUGGUGUUCUCAUUUUACAUGAUAGAGUUCCAAACAAUUUAUAGCCCAAAUCAUCAUCUAUCCUGCAAUUCUUGAAAGAGACCCUAACUUCAGUAGCACAAGAACAAAAACCAACGAAACAAAAAAUACUUAGCUUAUGAACCUUUCAGAUUUUCUGCUCUCCACCCCAAGACCAAACUUGUAGAUAGAUACCUACCUGUUGACCACACCCUCCCUCUUCAAUGAAAACUGCUUCUCCUUCCACUCCAUCUGUGAGGCACCUAUGGGUGCUGACAUGGGCUUACAUAGGACCUCCUGCUCACAGCCAGAAUUAGCUAGCAUUCACUGACCCAUAACUGAGUUCCUAAAAUACUCAAGACAAAAGACAUGUUGCUUUUCUUCACUAUAGCAAUAAUUUUACUAUCAAAUAAAUCCCAUAACCUCAUGUUGUAAACAUC
rnacentral:lncRNA from 1 species